CAUAAUAGAAAAUAAAAGUAUUCAUUAUUGCAAGGGUAAUAAGAGAUCACGUUUAAAUACACCGUUCGAUCGAACCCUAGUGGUUCGGUGAGUCGGUCUCAGGGGUUUGGCAGAGCCUCCACUGCGGAGGUCCGAACACACCUGAUUUGUCGUGUAAAUUCAUGAUGACGUAAAUCUGAACUGGUCUCGCAAAGGCAACAUAGGUAAGUCACACUGAUUUGCAGGUAUGUAAUUUGGUUUGAGUUUAUGCAUUGUGUUUGUUUUGUUCAUUGAAAAGGGUGAUGUUCAUUCACGGCUCAUUAUGUGCGCCAGUAAAAAACAUUGAUGUCUAUAAUUUGAAAAAUAUAUUUUUAUUUUUCACUAAAGAGGGGUUCGGUGAAUGCGCAUAUGAAACUGGCGGGGUUUGGUACUUCCAACAAUGUUAAGAACCACUGCUCUAGGUGGAUAAUGUUUAUUUGGCUACCAUGCAGUAUAUCCUUUUACAGGUCAAAAGGAUGGCACCCAAUGUUAUUAUUUUUAACUUUAACAGUAACCCUCUAGCUCCAAAUCCAAAGUAAAGAGUUCUUAAAAUUUACUUGCACUUUCCAUCAAUUAUGUAAGCGAAUUCACAAAAAUACGAUUUACACUGAGCAGACUAUAUUUAUUUGAUAUACGUAUGCGUGGAAUAGUAUAUUAAGCCACAUCUGGACUGCAUCAAAACAAACAAACAAACAAACCAGAAAAAGCAACAGAAAUGCCACACUUCCCUCUGUUAAAAUCUUCCAAAUCCAUUUCUGUAAAAAUCAUAGUAUUGAGACACGUCGACAUAACACAGAGAGGAUUCCAAAUUACUUAAUAAAGUAGUAAAACAUUUAGCACACGUUUCCAAGGGGGGCAUAAGCACAGUUAGAAAGUGUAACUGAUGUUAUCAUCAGUCUGUUUAAAACACAAGUGUCAAACUCAAGGCCCGGGGGCCAGAUACAGUCCGCCACAUCAUUUUAUGUGGCCUGCGAAGACAAAUUCGUGUCAUUACUAGAAUUGCAAAUUGUCUUCACUUUUAAUAUCUUUUUUUUUUUAAAUAUUUGACCAGUGUUUACUCGUCUGAUUUUAAAACGAGUUAUUUGUCAGUUUGUUUUGUAGCUUUUACUGUAUAUGAGGUGCUCGUACAUUUAAUUGGGUUGACAGUCAUAGUGGCCCUCCGAAAGAAGCUAUGACUACAAUGCGGCCCGCGAAAAAAAUGAGUUUUACACCCCUGGUCUAAAAUGUGUUGCGCUCAGUUUUUGUGGAGUGAUUUGAAACUUGUGGGCUGGGUAAGUAAGAUUCAAACAAUAGCUGUAAAAGCAGUGGUGGGCCGUCAGGGCCUGCAAGGCCUUC